rnacentral:rRNA from 1 species
GACGAACGCUGGCGGCGUGCCUAAUACAUGCAAGUUGAGCGAUGAAGAUUGGUGCUUGCACCAAUUUGAAGAGCAGCGAACGGGUGAGUAACGCGUGGGGAAUCUGCCUUUGAGCGGGGGACAACAUUUGGAAACGAAUGCUAAUACCGCAUAACAACUUUAAACAUAAGUUUUAAGUUUGAAAGAUGCAAUUGCAUCACUCAAAGAUGAUCCCGCGUUGUAUUAGCUAGUUGGUGAGGUAAAGGCUCACCAAGGCGAUGAUACAUAGCCGACCUGAGAGGGGGGUCGGCCACAUUGGGACUGAGACACGGCCCAAACUCCUACGGGAGGCAGCAGUAGGGAAUCUUCGGCAAUGGACGAAAGUCUGACCGAGCAACGCCGCGUGAGUGAAGAAGGUUUUCGGAUCGUAAAACUCUGUUGGUAGAGAAGAACGUUGGUGAGAGUGGAAAGCUCAUCAAGUGACGGUAACUACCCAGAAAGGGACGGCUAACUACGUG